GAAAACACUGGCGAAUCGCUCGUCGGGGAUGUCGCGGCCCGUAUCGGAAAUCGACAGCUCCACCUUGGAUUCU
rnacentral:sRNA from 1 species